GAUGAACGCUGGCGGCGUGCCUAAUACAUGCAAGUCGAACGCUGAAGCUUGGUGCUUGCACCGAGUGGAUGAGUUGCGAACGGGUGAGUAACGCGUAGGUAACCUGCCUCUUAGCGGGGGAUAACUAUUGGAAACGAUAGCUAAUACCGCAUAAAAGUCGACAUCGCAUGAUGUUGACUUGAAAGGUGCAAUUGCAUCACUAAGAGAUGGACCUGCGUUGUAUUAGCUAGUUGGUGAGGUAACGGCUCACCAAGGCGACGAUACAUAGCCGACCUGAGAGGGUGAUCGGCCACACUGGGAAUGAGACACGGCCCAGACUCCUACGGGAGGCAGCAGUAGGGAAUCUUCGGCAAUGGGGGCAACCCUGACCGAGCAACGCCGCGUGAGUGAAGAAGGUUGUCGGAUCGGAAAGCUCUGUUGUAAGAGAAGAACGAGUGUGAGAGUGGAAAGUUCACACUGUGACGGUAACUUACCAGAAAGGGACGGCUAACUACGUG
rnacentral:rRNA from 1 species